rnacentral:rRNA from 1 species
UCUUCCGCAAUGGACGAAAGUCUGACGGAGCAACGCCGCGUGAGUGAUGAAGGCUUUCGGGUCGUAAAACUCUGUUGUUAGGGAAGAACAAGUGCUAGUUGAAUAAGCUGGCACCUUGACGGUACCUAACCAGAAAGCCACGGCUAACUACGUGCCAGCAGCCGCGGUAAUACGUAGGUGGCAAGCGUUAUCCGGAAUUAUUGGGCGGAAAGCGCGCGGAGGGUGUUUCUUAAGUUUGAUGUGAAAGCCCACGGCUCAACCGUGGAGGGGCCUUGGAAACUGGGAGGCUUGAGUGCAGAAGAGGAAAGUGGAAUUCCAUGUGUAGCGGUGAAAUGCGUAGAGAUAUGGAGGAACACCAGUGGCGAAGGCGACUUUCUGGUCUGUAACUGACACUGAGGCGCGAAAGCGUGGGGAGCAAACAGG